rnacentral:rRNA from 1 species
AUGCCUCACCCCCCUCUCGUCGCCGCCGGCAACCUCCGCUGCCGCCUACUCCUCUCCUCGCUGCUCGCCUCCUCCCGCACCCGCCGCUUCCUCCCCCGCGCCAUGGAGUCCUCCUCCUCCACCGCCGCCGCCGCUGCGGAGCACGCAGGUGGCGCGGCGGCGGGGGAGUACGAGGAGGUGCUGGCCCGGCUCUCCUCGCUCAUCACGCAGAAGAUUCUGGAGCUGGAGGAGCCCAUCGCGCAGAUGAAGGUCAUCCAUGUCGCCGGCACCAAAGAUGUUAGUUCUUUCAGUUCUAGCCCUCCUAUCUUUAAUUCCUGGCUGCUGGACUACCUGCAGGACAACGAGUUCAUUUGCGACAGCUACCGCUGUGAGCAGUCCGUCCGCAACGCGCUCCGCAGCGUCUUCGCCGGGCACAACGAGAUCCUCAACGUCUGGAACUAA